rnacentral:rRNA from 1 species
AGUGAACGCUGGCGGUAGGCCUAAUACAUGCAAGUCGAACGGCAGCACAGUAAGAGCUUGCUCUUACGGGUGGCGAGUGGCGGACGGGUGAGGAAUAUAUCGGAAUCUACUUUUUCGUGGGGGAUAACGUAGGGAAACUUACGCUAAUAUCGCAUACGACCUACGGGUGAAAGCAGGGGAUCUUUGGACCUUGCGCGAUUGAAUGAGCCGAUGUCGGAUUAGCUAGUUGGCGGGGUAAAGGCCCACCAAGGCGACGAUCCGUAGCUGGUCUGAGAGGAUGAUCAGCCACACUGGAACUGAGACACGGUCCAGACUCCUACGGGAGGCAGCAGUGGGGAAUAUUGGACAAUGGGCGCAAGCCUGAUCCAGCCAUACCGCGUGGGUGAAGAAGGCCUUCGGGUUGUAAAGCCCUUUUGUUGGGAAAGAAAAGCAGCAGGUUAAUACCCCGCUGUUCUGACGGUACCCAAAGAAUAAGCACCGGCUAACUUCGUG